rnacentral:misc_RNA from 1 species
AAGACUAUAGACCUGCGGAGUACCUGCGGAGGGAUCAUUAACGAGUUUCGUACUCCAAACCCUUUGUGAACAUACCUGUUUUCGUUGCUUCGGCAGGUGAAGGCGGACGGCCUCCGGGCCUCCCCCGCCGCCGCCGGGACCCCCGGGAGACCGGGGACCGGGCGGGCCUGCCGGAGGGCACAGACUCUUGUAUUAAACGUACCUCUCUGAGUUAUCUUUUACAAACAAGUAAAAACUUUU